UCCUUGGAUUUUACCCGAACCCCUUCAGAAUUCGAUUAAGUGCCCCCUUGGAAUGUCAUAUGUACCUUUUACUUUAGGGAG
rnacentral:rRNA from 1 species